GUCAUAAUAUCUAUUUAGAGUUAGUCAUUUAUUAAAUGUGUAAAUACGAAUUUAAUGCAUAAGUAAAUUUUCAUACAUCAUUAUUAAUUGCUGAUUGCAAUAAAUAAAUAAAUAAAUUUAGUUUUCUCUGCAAUUAUAAUGAUUUUUAAUAAUUAAAAAUAUUUUAAAUAAUGUGCAUAUAUAUUAUUUUUUGUCAUAAUAUUAGCAUUAAUGCGUGAGGUUUAGAGCUUGCAUAAAUAUAAAAAAGAACAAAGACGACACAGCUGCUACAGGAAUCACCCACAUAAUUACACUCCAAAAUGGCACUCAACUUCAGAGUACCACCAGCAAGUACUUGUCAACCAUAUUGAUAAUGUGAUAUAUUUAUAUCCUACAAUUCCCACAAAGAAAUGAAAAGGAAGAAAAAAAUUAAAUUACUAACAUCAGCUUGCUUUCAAGAAGAAGCUGACGUUUGAUGAAAUGCA
rnacentral:misc_RNA from 1 species